UAAGGAAUAUUGGUCAAUGGGCGCAAGCCUGAACCCGCCAUGCCGCGUGCAGGAAGACGGCCCUAUGGGUUGUAAACUGCUUUUGUCAGGGAAUAAACCCCCGCUCGUGAGCGGGGCUGAAGGUACCUGAAGAAUAAGCAUCGGCUAACUCCGUGCCAGCAGCCGCGGUAAUACGGAGGAUGCAAGCGUUAUCCGGAUUCAUUGGGUUUAAAGGGUGCGCAGGAGGAGUGGUAAGUCAGGGGUGAAAUCCCACAGCUCAACUGUGGAACUGCCUUUGAUACUGUCAGUCUAGAGUAUAGUUGAAGUGGGCGGAAUGUGUCAUGUAGCGGUGAAAUGCUUAGAUAUGACACAGAACACCGAUCGCGAAGGCAGCUCGCUAAGCUAUAACUGACGCU
rnacentral:rRNA from 1 species